UGAUUUGCUACACUUAUUGCUAUCUCGGGUCUGGUUCUUUUUGCCCAUUUAAUUGGAAAUAUGCAGACUUGCAAAGAGUUCUUCUAGCAUUCCAAUGAUCUCAGUGAGCAAUCCGGAGAAAGGAGCCUUGUGGUUAUGUUCUUAUGAUGAGGGAGUUUCUCUACUACCUUAUGUGUUUCUGUACAAUAAUUUAAGCUAAGCUAAGUUGUAUGUAUUUGUAGGGUUCAACACUUUGAAUGUUCGAGGAGGAAUUAUUUUACAUUGAAAUAUGAUUUUUUUUCUUAA